AGGUGAUUCUGAUGAGACAAGGUCAUUGACGGACGACUCGAAGCUUGUGUUGAAUCAGAUCCGCUUGAGCGAUAAGGGGACGUAUCGAUGCACACUGAAAAACAGCCGAACCGUUUUCUUCCGAACUGUAAUGCACGUUACCGUCAUUAAAGCACCGAUCGAAACGCAACCAUCUAACGUCACGAUGCCUACACUGAUUUCUGGAGACACCGAAAUCUUUUUUCAAUCCUCCUGGUCUGCCUCGGUGGUUCCGCUCAUGGCUGUCAUCACCGCGUUAUGUCUGGCAGGGAGCCUCAUCCUCAUUGUUGUCAUUGGAAAGAGGAUUUUUCAAAAAAGGAAAAUGGCGAAGCAGAGUACUAGGGUGCAAGAGGGAGAAGAAAACAUAUUCACCUCUUUGUGGGCCAGAUGGCGUGCAAAGUAAAUGAUUCCUGUGGGAGUAGAAAUUUCAAAUGGAUGCGACGGAAUGGAUGAAUGGAUGAAUUGGAAUGAAUUUGGGGAAUAUGGAAAUAAAAUAAUUCUCAAUAUGGCCCGUUGACCUGAACAUUGAGUUAAGUUGGAAUG